UACGUAGGGGGCAAGCGUUGUCCGGAAUCAUUGGGCGUAAAGAGCGUGUAGGCGGCCUGACAGGUCUGCUGUGAAAACUCGAGGCUCAACCUCGAGAUGUCGGCGGAAACCGUCUGGCUAGAGUCCGGAAGAGGAGAGUGGAAUUCCUGGUGUAGCGGUGAAAUGCGCAGAUAUCAGGAAGAACACCUAUGGCGAAGGCAGCUCUAUGGGACGGUACUGACGCUGAGACGCGAAAGCGUGGGGAGCGAACAGG
rnacentral:rRNA from 1 species